rnacentral:rRNA from 1 species
UACAGAGGGUGCGAGCAUUGUUCGGAAUCAUUGGGCGUAAAGCGCUUGUAGGCGGCCUGUCAAGUCGCGUGUGAAAUCCCUCGGCUUAACCAAGGAAGUGCGCGCGAAACUGGCGGGCUUGAGUGCCGGAGAGGGUCGCGGAAUUCCCGGUGUAGAGGUGAAAUUCGUAGAUAUCGGGAGGAACACCAGUGGCGAAGGCGGCGACCUGGACGGACACUGACGCUGAGACGCAAAAGCGUGGGGAGCAAACAGG